AGAGUUUGAUCAUGGCUCAGAACGAACGCUGGCGGCGUGGAUAAGACAUGCAAGUCGAACGGGAUUAUUUUUGUAGCAAUACAGAAAUAAUUUAGUGGCGAACGGGUGCGUAACACGUGGGCAAUCUGCCGAAAAGUGGGGGAUAGCUCGCCGAAAGGCGAAUUAAUACCGCAUGUGGUGAGGGACGACAUCUUCCUGAAUCCAAAGCCGGGGUCAAACCUGGCGCUUUUUGAGGAGCCCGCGGCCUAUCAGCUAGUUGGUGAGGUAACGGCUCACCAAGGCUAUGACGGGUAGCUGGUCUGAGAGGACGACCAGUCACACUGGAACUGAGACACGGUCCAGACACCUACGGGUGGCAGCAGUCGAGAAUUUUUCUCAAUGGGGGCAACCCUGAAGGAGCGACGCCGCGUGGAGGAUGAAGGCUUUCGGGUUGUAAACUCCUGUCAUUUGGGAACAAGUUGUACGUGUUUACUGCACGUGCAUUGAUAGUACCAGAAGAGGAAGGGACGGCUAACUCUGUGCCAGCAGCCGCGGUAAUACAGAGGUCCCAAGCGUUGUUCGGAUUCAUUGGGCGUAAAGGGUGCGUAGGUGGCGCCGUAAGUCGGGUGUGAAAUUUCGGAGCUUAACUCCGAAACUGCAUUCGAUACUGCGGUGCUUGAGGACUGGAGAGGAGACUGGAAUUCAUGGUGUAGCAGUGAAAUGCGUAGAGAUCAUGAGGAAGACCAGUGGCGAAGGCGGGUCUCUGGACAGUUCCUGACACUGAGGCACGAAGGCCAGGGGAGCAAACGGGAUUAGAUACCCCAGUAGUCC
rnacentral:rRNA from 1 species